AUUGAACGCUGGCGGCAGGCCUAACACAUGCAAGUCGAGCGGCAGCACAGAGAGCUUGCUCUCGGGUGACGAGCGGCGGACGGGUGAGUAAUGUCUGGGAAACUGCCUGAUGGAGGGGGAUAACUACUGGAAACGGUAGCUAAUACCGCAUAACGUCGCAAGACCAAAGUGGGGGACCUUCGGGCCUCAUGCCAUCAGAUGUGCCCAGAUGGGAUUAGCUAGUAGGUGGGGUAACGGCUCACCUAGGCGACGAUCCCUAGCUGGUCUGAGAGGAUGACCAGCCACACUGGAACUGAGACACGGUCCAGACUCCUACGGGAGGCAGCAGUGGGGAAUAUUGCACAAUGGGCGCAAGCCUGAUGCAGCCAUGCCGCGUGUGUGAAGAAGGCCUUCGGGUUGUAAAGCACUUUCAGCGGGGAGGAAGGCGGUGAGGUUAAUAACCGCGUCGAUUGACGUUACCCGCAGAAGAAGCACCGGCUAACUCCGUGCCAGCCGCCGCGGUAA
rnacentral:rRNA from 1 species